CUCCGUAGGGGAACCUGCGGAGGGAUCAUUA
rnacentral:rRNA from 1 species